GGUAGUGUCAAAAUGCUGUCAAAUAGGAUAACCAAAUAAAGUAGUGCGACAUAUUUAUAAAAAAGAACAGUAUUAGGAAAGGGAAAAUAUAAUAAUAUUAAUAAUAAAAAGAAACUAAUGAUCUUAAAUAACAACAGACUCUUCGGCAAUGGCGAGCUCUCCAGUUUCUGCCUCUGUUGUGUCCUGUGUGCUGUUCCUCUUGGUCAUGUUGAUAUACAUUGCUACCAAAUGCAUGUGCUUGCAAAAAUUAUUUUUAAUAAUGGACUCAUGACAUGAACAGGUGAAUGUAUGAAUACAGACAUUGCAAAAGAGACAACGAAGCCUUUGACAGUCACAUGAAGGGUUGAAUCGCUUUCUGCUAUUAAUUUAAAACUCAUCGACAUCGCUGUCCUAUGAGCUUUAUUAACAACUAAAUGUUUGUGAGAUGAAGUUGGGCACAGAAUUGAUGCAACACGUUUCCAUGACUUGUCUUUUAAAAGUUUGUCCAACAUGUCCAGCCAAGUUUCUAAUCUAUAACAAUGGGCCCAUGAACCAA